rnacentral:rRNA from 1 species
UACGUAGGGAGCGAGCGUUGUCCGGAAUUACUGGGUGUAAAGGGAGCGUAGGCGGGAAAUUAAGUCAGACGUGAAAUCUACGGGCUCAACCCAUAGCGUGCGUUUGAAACUAAUUUUCUUGAGUGGAGUAGAGGCAAGCGGAAUUCCUAGUGUAGCGGUGGAAUGCGUAGAUAUUAGGAGGAACACCAGUGGCGAAGGCGGCUUGCUGGGCUUUUACUGACGCUGAUGCUCGAAAGCGUGGGGAGCAAAC